rnacentral:rRNA from 1 species
UACGAAGGGGGCUAGCGUUGUUCGGAAUCACUGGGCGUAAAGCGCACGUAGGCGGAUGUGCCAGUCAGGGGUGAAAUCCCGGAGCUCAACUCCGGAACUGCCUCUGAUACAGCACGUCUUGAGUUCGAGAGAGGUGGGUGGAAUUCCUAGUGUAGAGGUGAAAAUUCGUAGAUAUUAGGAAGAACACCGGUGGCGAAGGCGGCCCACUGGCUCGAUACUGACGCUGAGGCGCGAAAAGCGUGGGGAGCAAACAGGG